rnacentral:tRNA from 1 species
AGGGUAAUAGCUCAGUGGUAGAGCGUGUGCUUAGCAUGCACGAGUUCCUGCAUUCAAUCCCCAGUACCUCCA